rnacentral:rRNA from 1 species
UACGUAGGGUGCAAGCGUUGUCCGGAAUUAUUGGGCGUAAAGAGCUCGUAGGCGGUUUGUCGCGUCUGCUGUGAAAACUCGGGGCUUAACUCCGGGCCUGCAGUGGGUACGGGCAGACUAGAGUGAGGUAGGGGAGACUGGAAUUCCUGGUGUAGCGGUGAAAUGCGCAGAUAUCAGGAGGAACACCGGUGGCGAAGGCGGGUCUCUGGGCCGUAACUGACGCUGAGGAGCGAAAGCGUGGGGAGCGAACAGG